GACGUAGGGCGCGAGCGUUGUCCGGAUUUACUGGGCGUAAAGAGCGCGCAGGCGGCUGGUCAAGUCCGAUGUGAAAUCUCCCGGCUCAACUGGGAAACUGCAUCGGAAACUGCUCGGCUUGAAGGUGGGAGAGGGUAGCGGAAUUCCCGGUGUAGUGGUGAAAUGCGUAGAUAUCGGGAGGAACACCAGUGGCGAAGGCAGCUCUCUGGGACGGUACUGACGCUGAGACGCGAAAGCGUGGGGAGCGAACAGG
rnacentral:rRNA from 1 species